rnacentral:rRNA from 1 species
UACAGAGGGGGCUAGCGUUAUUCGGAAUUAUUGGGCGUAAAGGGCGCGUAGGCGGCCAUGCGUGUCUUCCGUGAAAUCCCUCGGCUCAACCGAGGACGUGCGGAAGAAACUGCAAGGCUAGAGUCCGGAAGAGGGGUGCGGAAUUCCCAGUGUAGCGGUGAAAUGCGUAGAUAUUGGGAGGAACACCAGUGGCGAAGGCGGCCACCUGGACCGGAACUGACGCUGAGGCGCGAAAGCGUGGGUAGCAAACGGG